UUACGUCCAUAUCCGGUUGAAACGCCGUUUCUCGCAAGACCACCGAAGUUAAUUAACAUUGGGCCUGGUCAGUACGCAGGUGGGCGACCCCUUGGGAAUAAAAGGGGCUGUAAG